rnacentral:lncRNA from 1 species
AAUUCGAAGCUCAUCCCUGAGAGAAAAGCUGCAGCUGAAAGCCCAGGGCUGGGAUCACCCACUGGCUCCGGGAGGGCAGGUAUUGAUGGAGGCACUGGGGAAGUGCCAACUGGAUGAGGAGAACGAGGAGUCCUUCGGAAGGAUUGCUGCUUCAGUGAAAUGUACCCAAUUCUCUGGGAAAGGCUGGCUUUGAUGACUACUCAGAUUUGAAGGAAUUCUGGAAGAAAUUAUUGAACCAGGACUUUUCAACAUUCUCAUAAAGAAAUCUGUGUUUCUCGUUUGAAGGUGACUUUCUAAUUUGGAAUUGGAAUAGUAUUUUCUUUAGAUAGGAAAUAGUCCAAUUCUGAAAUAGCAAUGUUCUGUAUCUUUAUAUAUCUCUAUUAACCUGAUAUCAUUAUGGAAUGUAUAAUUUACAGUUAUUAUGGCAAAAGGAAAAUAUUUGAGAUAAUUCCUUUUAAAACAAAAAUCUGUUGAGAGAAGUGAUUCAGAAAUUUCAAGAAGCCUUGAAUGUAAGAAAAUCUUUUUCCCUUCUCUUUCAAGUACCAUUUGCUUGAAUGCCAUUUAAUGUUGGUUUUACAUUUGGCUGAAUUUCCUCUGUUUUAAAGACUUUUAAUUUGCAUUAAAAAAAAAAAGCUUGGAAAUCCAUGUGGUGGCCACUG